rnacentral:ncRNA from 1 species
UACCUGGUUGAUCCUGCCAGUAGUCAUAUGCUUGUCUCAAAGAUUAAGCCAUGCAAGUCUAAGUACGAGCUCUCGUACAGUGAAACUGCGAAUGGCUCAUUAAAUCAGUUAUGGUUCAUUUGAUCGUACAGUUUACUUGGAUAACUGUGGUAAUUCUAGAGCUAAUACAUGCGAGAAGCGCCGACCUCGCGGGAGGCGUGCAUUUAUCAGACCAAAAACCGGCCGCGUCUUCGGGCGCGUUCGCCUUGGUGACUCUGGAUAACUUUGCGGAUCGCACGGUCUAGCACCGGCGACGGAUCAUUCAAGUGUCUGCCCUAUCAACUUUCGUCGGUACGGUAUUUGCCUACCGAGGUUCUUACGGGUGACGGGGAAUCAGGGUUCGAUUCCGGAGAGGGAGCCUGAGAAACGGCUACCACAUCCAAGGAAGGCAGCAGGCGCGCAAAUUACCCAUUCCCGACGCGGGGAGGUAGUGACGAAAAAUAACAAUGCAGGACUCGUUCGAGGCCCUGUAAUUGGAAUGAGUACACUUUAAAAGCUUUAACGAGUAUCCAUUGGAGGGCAAGUCUGAUUCCAGCAGCCGCGGUAAUUCCAGCUCCAAAAGUAUAUAUUUAAGUUGUUGCGGUUAAAAAGCUCGUAGUUGGAUUUUGGGCGCAGGCGGCCGGUCCGUCGCAAGGCGUGUACUGGACGUCCUGGCCUUCCCUCCGGUUCUCCGCCGGUGCUCUUGACUGAGUGUCGGCGGCGGCCGGAACGUUUACUUUGAAAAAAUUAGAGUGUUCAAAGCAGGCUCUCGAGCCUGGAUAAUGGUGCAUGGAAUAAUGGAAUAGGACCUCGGUUCUAUUUUGUUGGUUUUCGGAGCGCGAGGUAAUGAUUAAGAGGGACAGACGGGGGCAUUCGUACUGUGCCGUUAGAGGUGAAAUUCUUGGAUCGGCGCAAGACGAACGACUGCGAAAGCAUUUGCCAAGAAUGUUUUCUUUAAUCAAGAGCGAAAGUCAGAGGUUCGAAGACGAUCAGAUACCGUCCUAGUUCUGACUAUAAACGAUGCCAACUAGCGAUCGGGGGGCGUUACAUUGACGACCCCUCCGGCAGCUUACGGGAAACCAAAGUCUUUGGGUUCCGGGGGAAGUAUGGUUGCAAAGCUGAAACUUAAAGGAAUUGACGGAAGGGCACCACCAGGAGUGGAGCCUGCGGCUUAAUUUGACUCAACACGGGAAAUCUCACCCGGCCCGGACACAGUGAGGAUUGACAGAUUGAGAGCUCUUUCUUGAUUCUG